rnacentral:rRNA from 1 species
AAGCCAUGCAUGUCUAAGUAUAAGCACUCUUUUACUGUGAAACUGCGAAUGGCUCAUUAAAUCAGUUAUCGUUUAUUUGAUAGUACCCUACUACAUGGAUACCUGUGGUAAUUCUAGAGCUAAUACAUGCGCAAAACCCCGACUUCGGAAGGGGUGUAUUUAUUAGAUAAAAAACCAAUGCCCUUCGGGGCUCCUUGGUGAUUCAUAAUAACUUCACGAAUCGCAUGGCCUUGCGCCGGCGAUGGUUCAUUCAAAUUUCUGCCCUAUCAACUUUCGAUGGUAGGAUAGUGGCCUACCAUGGUGGCAACGGGUAACGGGGAAUUAGGGUUCGAUUCCGGAGAGGGAGCCUGAGAAACGGCUACCACAUCCAAGGAAGGCAGCAGGCGCGCAAAUUACCCAAUCCCGAUACGGGGAGGUAGUGACAAUAAAUACUGAUACAGGGCUCUUUUGGGUCUUGUAAUUGGAAUGAGAACAAUCUAAAUCCCUUAACGAGGAACAAUUGGAGGGCAAGUCUGGUGCCAGCAGCCGCGGUAAUUCCAGCUCCAAUAGCGUAUAUUAAAGUUGUUGCAGUUAAAAAGCUCGUAGUUGAACCUUGGGCCCGUCCUGCCGGUCCGCCUCACCGCGAGUACUGGUCCGGAUGGGCCUUUCUUUCUGGGGAAUCCCAUGGCCUUCACUGGCUGUGGCGGGGAACCAGGACUUUUACUGUGAAAAAAUUAGAGUGUUCAAAGCAGGCCUUUGCUCGGAUACAUUAGCAUGGAAUAAUAGAAUAGGACGUGCGGUUCUAUUUUGUUGGUUUCUAGGACCGCCGUAAUGAUUAAUAGGGAUAGUCGGGGGCGUCAGUAUUCAGCUGUCAGAGGUGAAAUUCUUGGAUUUGCUGAAGACUAACUACUGCGAAAGCAUUCGCCAAGGAUGUUUUCAUUAAUCAGGGAACGAAAGUUAGGGGAUCGAGACGAUCAGAUACCGUCGUAGUCUAACCAUAACUAUGCCGACUAGGGAUCC